UUCCUUUUUGUCUUUAAGAAACAUCCAAUCAAUAAAGUUGAAUUUCUUGUCGUGGAUGGCUUCUCCUCUCUUCCUUCCUCCUUUUUAUUUUUCUUUCUGCAUUGAGACGCGCCUUGACGCUUUUGUCUCCCGAUGGCAGUGUCCUGCCAUAGCACUUCCCCUACCACGGGGGGUCCCGCUGAAGUCCACGAUCCAGCAUCUGAAGAAGGAAGUUCAUCAUUUGACGAAGAGGUCGAAGAAGAUGGAUGGC
rnacentral:lncRNA from 1 species